rnacentral:rRNA from 1 species
CGGAGGGAUCAUUAAAGAGUUCUAUAACUCCCAAACCCAUGUGAACAUACCUAACGUUGCCUCGGCAGGUCGCACCUACCUUGUAGCACCCUACCCUGUAGGGCCUACCCGGGAGGUGCGGGUAAGCCUGCCGGCGGCCCACCAAACUCUGUUUGAUAUUGAAUUCUGAACCUAUAACUAAAUAAGUUAAAACUUUCAACAACGGAUCUCUUGGUUCUGGCAUCGAUGAAGAACGCAGCGAAAUGCGAUAAGUAAUGUGAAUUGCAGAAUUCAGUGAAUCAUCGAAUCUUUGAACGCAUAUUGCGCCCAUUAGUAUUCUAGUGGGCAGGACCGUUCGAGCGUCAUUUCAACCCUUAAGCCUUCGUUGCUUAGUGUUGGGAGCCUACGGCAACGUAGCUCCUCAAAGUUAGUGGCGGAGUUGGUUCACACUCUAGACGUAGUAAUUUUUUAUCUCGCCUAUUAGUUGGACUAAUCCCCUGCCGUAAAACCCCCAAUUUAUCAAGGUUGACCUCGAAUCGGUUCAGACAAACUCGCUAAAUUGAAGCAUCUUAGUCAGCGAAGGAAAAGAAACCAACAGGGAUUGCCCUAGUAACGGCGAGUGAAGCGGCAACAGCUCAAAUUUGAAAUCUGGCCC